UAACCCAAAAGCAGAAAAUAUGCCAUGAAUAAGAAUGCGCCUUAAUGCAAGAACAUUAGUGAUUUUAUGUUAAAAAUUCGCGGAGCUGGUUUCUCGCCUUGGCAGUGAAAACAGUGAGAGAACCGAACGUUUCCAUUGAUUUGGCGCCUUCAGGGAUGACCGAAUGGAGAAGGCAAACCAUGGACACAAACUGUCCCCGAUUUAGCGAAUCUCCGACGAACAUCAUCCUCUUCCCUCUCAGUGUCUCGAGCAUUAGUGUGGCAUUAAAGCUGCAAUCAUUAUUUUUUCGACAAAGUCAUGGAAUUUGAUCCUCGGAAUCAUAAGAUGAUAGUGGAUAUUUCUAUUCACGAAUCAAGUGCUCUCAACCGUAGCAUGAUGUAGUGCCACAGUAGACAAGUUGCAAUCAAUGCCUAAGACCUUGGCCUGGACUACAAUUGAAAUUGAUCGAGUUUAUGCAGGAAAACUCCAGGGCUAAAGCUUUCCAAAAAGCAAAAGUCGAGGCCUCAAAAAAGUCGAGACUUUCUUUCCUUAUAAGCGAGGACUUUGACCCUCGCAAACGGAUCGAAAAAGGUAAGCAAAAAAUAGUUGUAAUUAUUUAUACGAAAAACAAAAAUAAAACAAGAGAUGCCUAGACGUGCAGUGUGCUCAGCCUGGAGAUCUCAAUACUCUCUUUGGGUCCAAUGCGCCAAUUAAUUAAAACAAGAACUAGGUGCGCCACGCACGUAGGCACGCGUGUUUGAUGAUUCUUACAAAUGUUGUACGUGGAACUUUUGUAAAAUUUUCUCGCGAGGGUAGAUAAUUAUUAGAAAGAAGUUCAAAACAAUAAAGAAAGUAGAAAGUAUGUGAAAGUUAAGAAGAAUCUGGAAUCUGGAGAUGUCAAGCGAAGGGAAAUGGUCAAUUUCGUGAGAGACCCCCCCUCACAUUUUUCCUUUUAGAGUAGUAAGUUGAACAAAACAAGGUCGCCAAACAAAUUAAUUAGCUGGGAAACUGCAAACCCGAAUUUGGUUUUUGUGGACUAUGAACAAAUCAAACAAGGUGAGAUUGCACCUUCUCGAUUAAUCAUUGCUUGAGUUCUAUGGACUUUUUUAGGCAUGUAUCUUUUGAGUAAAGGAAUUUACCUGGGAAGAUUACAGCCAUCAGGUUGCCAUCUCCAGAACUGAUACCCUUUAUCAGGCCUUCCAUGUUCUUGGCAAGUCAACUGAGGCUGAAUGUAUGGACACUCCGAUUCUUGGUAAUGCGGUCGAGUCGACUCGUCCCUCACCCAUCUCCCUCUGAAUAUGUCGCAACCUUCCUCCAAUUUCCCAAUGGCGAACGGCAACGGACGGGCCUCACCACUCUUCGUCUCUAUUUAGGGGGAAAAACAAAGAGGUUGCCAAUGUAAUUUGUCGAAGAACUUUUUGAACGUAGAAUAACUCUUAUGCAAGAUAUAUGUUAAACCGCAGCAUCUAAAAGUUGUGAUCCAACCCUGAUACCUCAAACGAUGCAAACAGAGUUUAAAAAAAUGCCCGCUUAUUCUGAGAAUGAUCCAACAACUGUAUACUUGGUGAUCGAAAUGAUCUGUGCCUGAUGGAAAACGCAGCUUUUGUAUUCUUCCUAUGCUCAAAUUCUAAUGAAACUUUUGAUAUUUGCGACUAGGGAAUGAAUAUAUCAAUAAAGAUGAUGGAGUAGUCGAAUUCGGUCAGCGAGCGUGUCGACUUACCAGUUGUGGACAGAAGCCAGGUCGAGACGGGGCUGAGCUGGAGUUCUUGGUUGAACAUGCACAUGAAGUCUUCGCCAUAAAGGACUGCGACGAAGAGGAUGAAGGCCAAUAAUGUGAAGAGGUACGGAGAGAGACGUGCUUUUCUCAGAACAGAGGGAGAAGAUAUAGAGAUGGGUGGCUUCAUUAUCUCGGUCGUCUCUCUCAGACUGCGUGAGGAAAGCUUCUAUUGAAAUAGAGCUGAGGCCGAUGAGUGGUCACAAGCUUAUUGCUUGGGGUUUUGAAUGAGUAAUGGAAUGACACAAGCAAUGUCUGUCCUGGAAAUUCAUGAGAUAAUGUCAAAGGGUAAUGUUGACCCGACGUGGGUGGGGUUAAAUCUCUAGGUUGAUUAUCUGGGGAUUGAACUUGGGUCAGAGGUUAAGUAAAUCUCGAUAUCAAGUUCACAUUUUCUCGCUACAAAAGAAAUCUUUUCACGGAACUAUGCUCUCCUAAAAUGAUUGGCCUACUUUUAUUACCUUGGCUUAUAUUUAUAGCUGAUAUAAUAUAAGCUUUAAUCAAGUAGAUGACGGGUGAAGUGGAAUGAAUAGUUGCCAUAAAAAAGGCGAGGGAGUGAUGAAGAAGAAUAGUACCUGACUAUUGAGCUAAAAGGGAAGCCAUGAUGUCGCUUGGCUGCUAAGGCAAGAUUGCCAGGAAAGAUUACCCAUCAUCAUCAUUGCUUUGUAUGCAACUAUGUAAAUACAAACGUGUGAUGUUUAAAUAAAGAUGAAAGGCUUUCGGAGAAGUCACGGUUUUUAAUUUGUUUAAUCUACAGGUUUUAGGUGAAGAAAUUCCGAAACAUUUGGUGAUGUUUCAGCAUUAAAAUGGUUGGCCACUCUUUAACUUGCUUCCUCGCUCCAAUAGUCAUUCCCAAAUGUCAAUGUUCAGCUCUCAAGCCACGUAUAUUUAAGUAGGUUUAAUAGCGAGAUAUCAACCAAAAUCAUAGUCUAGAAUUCAUGAUGUUGACAUUAAUAAAUUAACAAUGCACCUUCAAUCUUCAAUUGAUUCAUGAAAUCAUUAGGAGCUCUUGAAUCUUUUUAUGGUGUCUCAUUUGUUUUGCUAAUGAGUGGCUGCACAUUCGUUAUCAACGAUAAUAAAGGAUGGGACUCGGUCUCACACAAUCGACUGGUGAGAUUUAGGCUGAUUUUAUUUCUCUUUCGUUCGCAUAAUCUUUUUGGUUUGUUGGGUUUUCAUCGUGCUCAACUGCAAAAGCAUUUAUAAGUGUUUAUGAUAUGAAAAAGUACUUAAAAAAAAGUCCUAUAACUUAUUAUAAUUGUGUUAAUUCAAUCAUAAACUUUUAAUUAUACCAAUUCAAUCCUAAAUAUUUUUACAAUUUGCCAAUUGAACCAUUCCAACCAAUUUUAAAAUCACUAACAUGGAUGUUAACGUCCUACAUAACAUGACCGAAGCUAAAGUGGAUAAUCUUUAUAAUUUCUAUAAAAAAUUUAAUUAUUUAAUUUUUUUUCUCUUUCCUUCUUUUAUUUCCUUUCAAUUUGGCAAGCCCUUGCCAAUCACAAAGGCCUCACCCAAAUUUGGGGUCACAAAUGCCUCACCCAGAUUUGGACGAGGACCAUGUUGCCCAUGGUGACCUUGCCAGGGCCAUCGUGACCGAGGUUAUCGUGGCCUCAUCCAAAUCUUGGAAGGCCGGGACCCUCUCCAACAGCCAACAGGGGUUGAUGACUCUUGACCAGUGGUUACAACCCUCUUUGGCCAAAAUGAAAGGAAAAAAGAAGUUACCAUAGCUGAAUGCCAUGUGAUAAUCAUCUAACCUUGUAAUUAAUAGCCUCCUAAUCCAAGUUAAAAUUUCUCAUUUGUCUUCUUUGGUGUUAUUAUAGUGCUCUCUAAUGUCCGAGGUAAAAAAAAUAUAUGUCCAGGAAUUGAAUAAUAAUAAACAUUACCAACACUUAACAAGAAAAAAGAAAAGAGGUAAAUAUUGCCAAUAUACAACACUCAAAUCCAUUAAAUUAAAAGAGAAAUAUAAAUAUCCAUAUCUAACAUCCUACAUUCGCAUGAAAUUGCAUGUGUAAGAAGUAUUGAUAGUUGAUAAUGAAUCGAGACAGACUCAAUUAAAAUGGGAAAAGUGUUAAAGAAGUCAUAAACAAUUUGUACUUGUAUCAAUUUAGUCAUAAACAUUUUAUUAGUAUCUAUUUAGUACUAAAGAUUUGUGUAUCAAUUCAGUCAUUUAUGGCUAAUUUUGGCCGCAUUUUGCUAGCUAAGUGCCAAUCGGCUGAAAUGACACAAUCGGUGCUAACGUUGAUAAUUUUUAAUAAUAUUUUAAUAUUUUUUGAAUUUUUUCUUUUUUCUUUUUUCUUUCUCCUCCUCCUUCCUCUAGCUAGUCGUCGAACCUCAACAAUCAACCAAAGGCGACGGUCAAUGAGUUGACCUCGAUCUUGCCGGCUUUUGGCAAGCCUCGCUGGCCUCUGGCAAGCCUCACCGACCACUGGCGAGGCUCAAGCCCUCGCAAAUGGCCAGCGAUGCUCACUAGAGGUCAGUGAAGUCGACUUCAACCUCGCUUGCCGUUGCCUCUAGCUAAUCGCCGAGGUUCAACAACCAAUUAGAGGAAGGAGGAGGAGAAAGAAAAAAUAAAAAAUAAAAUAAAAUAAUUCCAAAAUUAUUAAAAUCAUUAAAAAUUGUCUACGUCAGUGCUGAUCAUGCCACAUCAAUUGACUGUUAUCCAAUAAGCAAAAUCCAACCAAAUUAGCCAAAAAUGACUGAUUUAGCACAACAUGAAAAUAUUUAGGAAUAAAUUGACAUCAAUAAAUUGGCAUGAAUACAAAAGAUUUAGGACUUUUUUUAACACUUUUCCCCAAUUAAAAUGUGUUGUUAUGAUGGUCUCACAUGAGUGAUUUAAUAUUAGCCAGGACUCGUGAUUAUGAGCAACGGUGUUCAAUUAUGCGUGGACUCAAUCCAUACACAGGUUACAAGCGAUUGUUUUUUAAAAAACAUUUCCAUCCAUUCAUUCAUUGCGAAAUGAAUGGAAGCAUAAUGUGUGAUGGUAAAUUUAUCCAUUUGCACAAAGGUGAAAGACUGAAUAUUUAAGCCACAUUAGUAGGGAUAAUUGUCAAAAAAGAGUCCUAAAUUUAUUAAAUGAAGACCAAUUUUUAUUUUUAUUUUGGUCAGUAAGACCAAUUCAAUCUUAAAAUUUUUAACUGUAUAAAUUUAAUCUCAAACCCUUUAAUUAUGUCAAUUUAAUCUAUAACAUUUUAACGAUUUAUCAAUAUAUUCCUAAAUUAUUUUUUUCGAUUUGUCAAUUUAGUUAUUUCGAUCAAUUUUAGUUAGAAAUUGCUUACGUGAUAGUCUAAUUAGUAGAUUGUAUGCAGAAUGGCCAAGGUUGAUAUGAACAAAUUUUGUAAUUUUUAAAUUUACUAAAAAUAAUGAGUUUUUUUAAUUAUUUUUUCCUUUUUGUUCUUUCUUUUUUUUGUGGCAACUCUGAGCCGGUGAUGGCCAUGACGCCCUCAUCAGCCUAGAGUUGCAAAAAAAAAAACAAGGAAAAGAAAAGAAUAAAAGAAGAAAAAGAAAACAACUGGAAAAAACAAAAAAAUUCAGAUUUUUUUUUUAAAGAUUGACCAUGUUAGAGCCGAUUGUGCCAAUAGGACAGUUGGCAUUGACUAGAUCACUAAGUUAGUGAUUUCCAGCCAAAAUUAGCUGAAAAGAUUAAAUUGGUAAAUUGUAAAAAUGUUUAAAAUUAAAUUGAUACAAUUGAGAAAUUCAAAAUUGAAUUUGGCGUCCUACAAAAGGUUUGGACUUUUGGGACAAAUUUCUCCACGCAAGUCAACGUGCUUGGAUAUGAAAAAUAUCCUAGGCUUAUGUUGGCCAAAUAACCCUACCUUAUUUGAAUGUUGAGCAAAGCAAGGUUCUUUUUUUUGUGGCGAUGUAUUUGAUGCAAAGUCUAGGGACAUGCUGUGUCCGGAGCCUCCAGAUUUGGGUUGAUGAAAAGGGUGCAAUGCUUCUUUACAGGAUAGUAUAUAUUGUAUUUUUGGAUUGAAAGAAAAUAUUUAUAUGGACUUGGAUUUCCUAAACUCAUUUGAUUAUGUGAAACUCACGCGAGACUCAGAAAAUCAAUAAUUGUAAUGCACUUGACUUAAUGGAUUCAAAUCCAAGGAAGAAGUUCCCCAGAAAAUGAGGUCCAAACUAAACAAGCAAAAACCUCGAGCUUCUAUUAUCCCAUUGCAUGUACGAGCAAGCAAUCUAGACCUAAAUCUUCUGUGAAGGAAAAAUUUUCUCCCUUCAUACCAAAAAUAAAUUCAAUUUUCUCCAAAUCUAACAUGGGACAACACCUUUCACCAACCCCCCGGGAGGGGCUCCCCUCAAAAAAAAAAAAAAUCGAACUUAUAUACUUCACAUCAAAUUCCAUAGCUACUCCUCUCCCCCAAAGUCGAACUGUACAUAAAGCCCAUUUCACUCCUCGUUUCCUGCUACUUGGCAUCAUCAAGGAUAAAAGAGCCUCGUGAAGAGAAGCUCGUUCCAAGUGUCAUGAAGGCCAGGCAAGCACCAGUGGACGCAGUCGGCAUAGCUCACCGGGUUGGCCAGCUGCUCGGGAGUGAGAGGAUUCCACUGCUUCUUGUGGAUGGAGGUGUGCGCGUCUUUGCGGUAGCUCGAGAGCUGAGUGAUGUUGAGGACGGUGAUGGGGACCUCGGCCUUGCUGAACACUUGUCCGAUCACCCGCAUUAUGCUUUUUGAGCAAUCCGAGCCCCAGUAGUUCGGAUCCUCGAUCAUCGCCGUCUCGUUGUAGCAGUUGCCACCCGGUGCGCCGCCCCAUUCGGUGCUCCUGCGAUUAAACAUUUUUUUUUUUUUUUUUUGAGAAAUCAUUGCGAAGAUUCAGUCUAGUCCGAUGUUUGUAGGACGACUUAAGAAAAAUGAUGGUUUUAAUUGUCUCCUCGGCUUCGCAGAUUCAAUGGGCUCAUGUGGAUAGAAAAUACGAGUCACGAACAUGGGGACAGAAAAUCAAUUCAACAAUUAUAGAGCAAGUCCUGAAAUUUGUCAUGAUAAUAAACUUGAAUUCUAAAACGUUAGUCUCGUGGAUUCAAGUCCUCAAACUUACAAUUUUAACGCACUUGAAUCCUUCCGUAUUUAAGUGGCUAAAAAUGCCACGUGACCUUUUUUUCUAUUCUACAUGGCUUUCAUUAAAAAAUGCUACAUAGAUUUUCCAUUCAAAAUCUGACAAAGCUAACAGAAGGACUAAAGUGGACAACCUUAACAAGUUUUAAGACUUAUGCAUGAAACAAAAAAAUUAAAAUUCAAGCACAUUGUAGUAACAAGAGAAGUGAUUGCAUAACAGCCUUUAAUAUACUAUAAAAAUAAUAAUCUAUUCAAGACCACAAAAAAUCAAAUCAUAAAUAAUUAUAAAUUGUUGCAAGACCCAUUUCGUCAAGAAUUUGUAACUCACAAUAAAUUAUUAUUUUCAGAGUACCUUAAAGAUUGUUAUACUAGCAAAGCCAUAGUACCAAUGACAAAUUUCAAGACUCCUAAUAUAAUUGUCCCAAAACUAAAAGAAUUUAGGGAAAGUACAAAAAUCCACCUCACUUUUAACCCAAUGGUCACUUACAUAUUUUUUUUUUUAAGUAUCUACAUACAUCUAAGCAAAACCCCAUAUUGAAAAGACCAAAUUGCCUCUCUUUGCAAAUUCAUUUUAGCAUCUUGCUUACAAUUUGGGUGGUUUGGUUUUUAGUUGGUCUCGAGUGUUUUAGGGUGGGUGUUUACAAUUUGAGGAUAGGUUUUUUUUUUUUUUUAAUGCAUUUAAAUAAAUAGGGAGAUAAGAUUAAUAGCUGAGAAAGUACAAAGUUAUCUCCAAAAGUAGAUUCAAGUAUGGAUUUGAUAUUUUCAAAAGUGGAGGUAUGUAAGUAGUAAUCAAGUGCGAUGUGUCGCAUGUUUUUGGUAUUUUUCCAAGAAUAGGCGGAAAUGUAUAGGGAAUUAGAACUCACUUGGUAUGUAAAGGUGACAUGGUAACAAAGAAGGCCCUUGUUUUCUUGGGGUCCAUGUUCUUUUGAGUCCAUCUCACCAUGCUUUUCAACGCCAUUCUGUAAGCAUCCUCAGUCGACAGCUCCACAAAAUCCUUCACCUCAUCAUCAAAUGAACCUUUCCUGCAAAAAGAGGGUAAGAAAAGCCAAUUAGAUCACUUACACACACACAUGCCAAAAUCAAUAAAAACUAGAAAAAAUCUUGAUGUGAAAGAGAGAAAUUACAGGACUUUCAUCUUCAUGCCGGUCAUCCACCACAGAUAGGUAUUGAACACUAUUAUAUCGACUCCUUUCCAGUGUUUCCCAUGCUUGUUGAUCGAACCUUUUCGCACCAUCCUAUCUGGUACUCGGUGCACUAUUGCGUUAUCUGAAUUUGACUCUAGAAGAAAUGGCGCCCAAUAGAACUCGACUGUUGCAUUAUAGUCCUGUAUAUAGAGCGAAAUGGAAAGGGUAAUUGAACAUGGCUUGAUGCCUGGAUAUCACUAGACCCAAAUGGAUCAGAAGGCCUUAUGGCUGAAGUGAUUAUCUAUCUUCAGGUUAAAAUCAUCAUCACAUAUUCGGGAGUGAAGCAUCCGAAAAACAUUCUGGAAAAUUUGAUCAACUUGUUGCGUACACCAUAUCGCAAUCGAUAGCCUUCAGAUUAGAAUACUUCCUCGCUGUAGUUUAUUAACUCCAUCUUAAGUAACUUCUCCGCGUUAAACUUCUCUAAUUUCUAUCACUAAUCAAAUUGUUGGCAGGAGAGAGAGGAUGUCGCUUCUCACCUUGGCAGUGAAAACUUGUAGGGAACCAAAAGUUUCCAUCGUUUUAGCACCUUCGGGAAUGACUGUUUGGAGAAGACAGACCAUUGAAACGAAUUGUCCCCUGUUCAAGGAAUCUCCGACGAACAUCAUCCUCUUCCCUCUCAGUGUCUCGAGCAUUAAUGUGG
rnacentral:lncRNA from 1 species